rnacentral:rRNA from 1 species
UAGGGAAUAUUGGGCAAUGGACGCAAGUCUGACCCAGCCAUGCCGCGUGCAGGAUGAAGGCCUUCUGGGUUGUAAACUGCUUUUAUCUAGGAAGAAAAAACCCCUGCGGGGGGAACUGACGGUACUAGGUGAAUAAGCACCGGCUAACUCCGUGCCAGCAGCCGCGGUAAUACGGAGGGUGCAAGCGUUGUCCGGAUUUAUUGGGUUUAAAGGGUGCGUAGGCGGCUUUAUAAGUCCGUGGUGAAAGCCAACAGCUCAACUGUUGAACUGCCAUGGAUACUGUAAGGCUUGAGUACAGACGAGGUAGGCGGAAUGGAUGGUGUAACGGUGAAAUGCAUAGAUACCAUCCAGAACACCGAUUGCGUAGGCAGCUUACUAGGCUGUAACUGACGCUGAGGCACGAAAGCGUGGGGAGCGAACAGG